rnacentral:misc_RNA from 1 species
GAUGAAGAACGUAGUGAAAUGCGAUAAGUAAUGUGAAUUGCAGAAUUCAGUGAGUCAUCGAAUCUUUGAACGCACAUUGCGCCCGCCAGUAUUCUGGCGGGCAUGCCUGUUCGAGCGUCAUUACAACCCUCAGGCCCCCGGGCCUGGCGUUGGGGAUCGGCGGAGCCCCCCGUGGGCACACGCCGUCCCCCAAAUACAGUGGCGGUCCCGCCGCAGCUUCCAUCGCGUAGUAGCUAACACCUCGCGACUGGAGAGCGGCGCGGCCACGCCGUAAAACACCCAACUCUUCUGAAGUUGACCUCGAAUCAGGUAGGAAUACCCGCUGAACUUAAGCAUAUCAAUAAGCGGAGGA